AGAGUUUGAUCCUGGCUCAGGACGAACGCUGGCGGCGUGCCUAACACAUGCAAGUCGAGCGAGGUGCAGCGAUGUACCUAGCGGCGGACGGGUGAGUAACACGUGGGCAACCUGCCCUAUACAGGGGGAUAGCCACUCGAAAGGGUGAUUAAUACCGCAUAAAGCUAUGUAACCGCAUGGAUAUAUAGUGAAAGGAGGAAUCCGGUAUAGGAUGGGCCCGCGGCCCAUUAGCUAGUUGGUGAGGUAACGGCCCACCAAGGCGACGAUGGGUAGCCGAUCUGAGAGGAUGACCGGCCACAUUGGAACUGAGAGACGGUCCAGACUCCUACGGGAGGCAGCAGUGGGGAAUAUUGCGCAAUGGGGGAAACCCUGACGCAGCAACGCCGCGUGAGUGAAGAAGGCCUUCGGGUUGUAAAGCUCUGUCAUUAGGGACGAAGAAGGACGGUACCUAAGGAGGAAGCCACGGCUAACUACGUGCCAGCAGCCGCGGUAAUACGUAGGUGGCGAGCGUUGUCCGGAAUUACUGGGCGUAAAGGGUGCGUAGGCGGUACAUUAAGUCAGAUGUGAAAACCCGGGGCUUAACUUCGGGCAUGCAUUUGAGACUAAUGUGCUAGAGUGCAGGAGAGGGAAGCGGAAUUCCUAGUGUAGCGGUGAAAUGCGUAGAUAUUAGGAAGAACACCAGUGGCGAAGGCGGCUUUCUGGACUGUAACUGACGCUGAGGCACGAAAGCGUGGGGAGCAAACAGGAUUAGAUACCCUGGUAGUCCACGCUGUAAACGAUGAGUGCUAGGUGUAGGGGACAUGGAGUCCUCUGUGCCGGAGCAAACGCAAUAAGCACUCCGCCUGGGGAGUACGGUCGCAAGACUAAAACUCAAAGGAAUUGACGG
rnacentral:rRNA from 1 species